rnacentral:lncRNA from 1 species
UGUGAUUUUACGCUAUGAAAUUAAUUUUGUGAUAAUGUAACAUUAGGAUAAUGGAUGAUGAUUGGGAACUUAGUGAACUUUCGACUCCGUGUCUAAUGUGAAAUUAUCAUAAAACUUAAUUUGCAUGAGCGCAAAAUGAUGUGUGCAUAAAUGGACAUUUAUAUGAUUGUCUCUAAUAAUUUGACAGACCAUGGCAUUUAAGAAUAUCAUAACUGACCUAAAUAAAGGUGACAAAUUGAAUGGCGAUAACUAUAACACUUGGCGCCAUAAAAUUUGGUACGUGCUAGAGGAACAGGAUUGCCUUGAGGGCAUUAACCACGUGAUGGAAGACCCAGGGGUGGGUCAAACUUCUCAACAAAUAAGGGAUCAAGAAACUUACCAGACAUGGAAAAAAAAAGUUCCACUGCUCGUGCAAUUUUGGUAAGUUCUGUGAAGGAUGAUCUCAUACAUGAGUGUGAGCAGUUCCCGACUGCUCAAGACAUCUGGACAUAUUUGAGAGAGAAAUACGGUGGUACUAGUGUGACUAGACUGAGGCAACAGACUAUUAAAUUUGACACCUACAAGAAACUUCCUAAUCACAAUAUCACACAACAUGUGAAGAUCAUGUCUACUAUGAUUAGGGAAUUGAAAUCAGCUGGUCAUAUACUCUCUGAUGAGCAACAAGUUCAGGCUUUGAUCCGCUCUUGUCCUAAUAAUUGGGAACAUUUGUAAGUCAAUUUGACUCAUAAUGAUAGUAUCAAAACAUUUGCUGAUGCUGCCCGCCAUGUGGAACUAGAAGAUGAGUGCCUUAGUGCAGCUAAAUCUCUAGGACAAGCUUUUGUAGUUGAAUCUAGUUCUGGGAAAGUUUCAGGCUUUAAGCGUAAGAAGAAUUGGUUCAAAGGCGGGAAAGGGAAGGGAAAAUAAACUGGACAGGGACCUAAAAAGAACAAACACAAGCGCAAUAAGAAAGGUAAAUGGUUUGGAAAGAAGAAAGAUAAGAGCAAGCUGAAAUGCUUCAACUGUCAGGUGCUGAGUCACUUUGCUCGGGAAUGCCCUGACCCAAAGAAGGUAGCUCUUAGAAAUACUUCUUUUAGUGCUGUUUAUGUUUCAAGCACUGUUAUGCUAACUGAAUCUUAUCCUAUGUGGAUUAUAGACUCAGGAGUGACUGACCAUGUAACCAGGGAUCGAGAAGCAUUUGUGGAGUUCCAUCGAUUUCCAGCUGGUACAAAGUAGAUAUAUGUCGGCAACAAUAAUAGAGUGGAGGUGAAAGGGAUCGGUACAUGCAAGUUACAUUUGCGUGGUGGCCGUACUAUUCUCCUUCAUGAUGUCCUAUUUGCACCAGAGAUACAAAGGAACUUAAUUUUCGUUGUUGUUCUUUUAAGAUUAGGUUUCAAUUUGAACUUUUGUAGUAAUUCUGUUCGUAUAAACAACGUGAUAUAUUUUAUGGAUCUGGACAUGUAGAAGGAGGCUUUGUAGUGUUGGGUUGUGAUCCAAACACUUAUAAUUAUUAUGUUGAUCG